rnacentral:rRNA from 1 species
AUAUUGGACAAUGGUGGCAACCCUGAUCCAGCCAUGUCGCGUGUGUGAAGAAGUUCUUCGGAUUGUAAAGCACUUUAAGUUGGGAGGAAGGGCUUUGGGCUAAUACCCUGAAGUUUUGACGUUACCAACAGACUAAGCACCGGUUAACUCUUUGCCCGUAGCCGCGGUAAUACAGAGGGUGCAAGCGUUAAUCGGAAUUACUGGGCGUAAAGCGCGCGUAGGUGGUUCAGUAAGAUGGGUGUGAAAUCCCCGGGCUUAACCUGGGAACUGCUUUCAUAACUGCUGAGCUAGAGUACGGUAGAGGGUAGUGGAAUUUCCUGUGUAGCGGUGAAAUGCGUAGAUAUAGGAAGGAACACCAGUGGCGAAGGCGACUACCUGGACUGAUACUGACACUGAGGUGCGAAAGCGUGGGGAGCAAACAU